GACAGAGGGUGCAAACGUUGCUCGGAAUCACUGGGCGUAAAGGGCGUGUAGGCGGGACAGUAAGUCGGGCGUGAAAUCCCUGGGCUCAACCCAGGAACUGCACUCGAAACUACUAUUCUUGAGUGUCGGAGAGGAAAGCGGAAUUCCUGGUGUAGAGGUGAAAUUCGUAGAUAUCAGGAGGAACACCGGUGGCGAAGGCGGCUCUCUGGACCGAUACGUGACGCUGAGG
rnacentral:rRNA from 1 species